rnacentral:rRNA from 1 species
CGAUGAACCACUUCGGUGGGGAUUAGUGGCGAACGGGUGAGUAACACGUGGGCAAUCUGCCCUGCACUCUGGGACAAGCCCUGGAAACGGGGUCUAAUACCGGAUAUGACCAUCUUGGGCAUCCUUGAUGGUGUAAAGCUCCGGCGGUGCAGGAUGAGCCCGCGGCCUAUCAGCUUGUUGGUGAGGUAAUGGCUCACCAAGGCGACGACGGGUAGCCGGCCUGAGAGGGCGACCGGCCACACUGGGACUGAGACACGGCCCAGACUCCUACGGGAGGCAGCAGUGGGGAAUAUUGCACAAUGGGCGCAAGCCUGAUGCAGCGACGCCGCGUGAGGGAUGACGGCCUUCGGGUUGUAAACCUCUUUCAGCAGGGAAGAAGCGAAAGUGACGGUACCUGCAGAAGAAGCGCCGGCUAACUACGUGCCAGCAGCCGCGGUAAUACGUAGGGCGCGAGCGUUGUCCGGAAUUAUUGGGCGUAAAGAGCUCGUAGGCGGCUUGUCGCGUCGGUUGUGAAAGCCCGGGGCUUAACCCCGGGUCUGCAGUCGAUACGGGCAGGCUAGAGUUCGGUAGGGGAGAUCGGAAUUCCUGGUGUAGCGGUGAAAUGCGCAGAUAUCAGGAGGAACACCGGUGGCGAAGGCGGAUCUCUGGGCCGAUACUGACGCUGAGGAGCGAAAGCGUGGGGAGCGAACAGGAUUAGAUACCCUGGUAGUCCACGCCGUAAACGGUGGGCACUAGGUGUGGGCAACAUUCCACGUUGUCCGUGCCGCAGCUAACGCA